rnacentral:rRNA from 1 species
AUUGAACGCUAGCGGCAUGCUUUACACAUGCAAGUCGAACGAGCGGCGGACGGGUGAGUAAUAUAUCGGAACGUGCCCGGUAGCGGGGGAUAACUACUCGAAACAGUGGCUAAUACCGCAUACUAUUGGAUGAGCCCAUAUGGGAUUAGCUAGUAGGUGGGGUAAAGGCUCACCAAGGCAACGAUCCGUAGCUGGUUUGAGAGGAGGAUCAGCCACACUGGGACUGAGACACGGCCCAGACUCCUACGGGAGGCAGCAGUGGGGAAUGUUGGACAAUGGGGGAAACCCUGAUGCAGCCAUCCCGCGUGUAUGAGAAGGCCUUAGGGUUGUAAAGUACUUUUGGCAGGGAAGCGGUAUCUGCAGAAUAAGCACCGGCUAACUACGUGCCAGCAGCCGCGGUAAUAC